UCUCUCUCUCUCUCUCUCUCUCUCACACACACACACACACACAAACGCCAGACCUUCAAGAAACCACCCAUUUAUUGAUCGUGAACAAGAAACCGCAAAGAACGAAGAGUACCGCAACCUCAAGAAAGAGCUCCAUCAAUCCACAGAGCCUGAUCCUCUUGCUCCUCAGAUGCUCCCUCACUACCUCUAUUUUUAGAUCUUCGAUCUGUCUCCUUAGCGCCUUCUCCUUCUCCUGAAUCACAAAACCAUCAACUCCGGUCAUCAAUUACAGAAACGGAUCGAAAAUCGGAGAAAGCGAGUUGAGCGAGUUACAGUACCGUGGUAGCGUCGCGGUGGUCGAGCGAAUGGCGGACGACAGUUUAAGCCGAGAGAGAAGAAAAGCGACUUUGAUCGAGCGAAUUACGGUUCUCGAUUGCAGAGCUUCGGCACGGCUAAGGUCCACCAGCUGUCUCGUACAUCACCAAUCUCGCUCUCUCUGCGACCCCUUCCAAGUCGCCGAUGGUAAAAUUGUGAUUGAUGGAACACUAUGUGGAAGACGCUAAUGGCUUUGGUGGUGAGGAGGAGGAGUUCUCAGUUUUGAGUGGUGGGACCGUCUACAUUGAGAGUAUGAGUGGUCCUCUCGCCAAUGUCGGUCUCUUCCAGUCUUCUAUUCUCCAAGAGCUUCAGGGUUUGGAGCUGGAGUUGGCUUCAGGUUCAUCGCAACUUAUUCAAAGAGGCUGUUCUCGUGCAAAAGAAUAUGGAUCACUGAGGGUUCAGAGGCUAUGUUCUGUCAUUUAUGAAACCAAUAUGGACUGAUCUAGUUUUCUUUCCUUGUCGUUGUUUAGCAUUGAAGAGCUAGAGAAGCCAGUACCAGCUUUUAUGAGGUUUCAGAGCCUUCUUCAGUGUACAGUCAAAGACAAAUGACACUAAAAAGAAAGAGUACAAGGAAGCAAAAUGAUGUACCAUUUAGUUGCCCUUUUUCUGUAUUGCAAUAUUGAAAUCAAUGUUAUAUAUGGUACUUAAUGAGUUUGCUCUAUUCGUGUUUUCAGAUUUGGUCAAUAACCUUGGUGCCAUUGCAAGGUCUAGCACCAAGGAAUUCAUGGAAGUUUAGGCUGCUGGAGCUGAUGUUAGCAUGACUAGUCAGUUUGGUGUCGGGUUCUACUUUGGAUAUAUUGUUGCUGAGAAGGAAGAGGAAGGAAAGGUAUAGAGUUCGGAAGUUGAUGAAGACAAGGAAAUGGACUAGUACAAUAUGUUUCUGGCCUUGAUGUUUUUGGGCUUUAUGUUUAGGUAGGGUUAGUAUGUUAAUGUUGGGGUGAUGAUGGAAUGAAUUGUUUUUGAAUGUUUAAUCAA